ACGGGAGGCAGCAGUGAGGAAUAUUGGUCAAUGGGCGGAAGCCUGAACCAGCCAAGUCGCGUGAAGGAUGAAGGUAUUAUGUAUUGUAAACUUCUUUAGACGCAGAGAAAUAAGAGGCUCGUGAGCCUUGAUGCUAGUAUGCGUAGAAUAAGGAUCGGCUAACUCCGUGCCAGCAGCCGCGGUAAUACGGAGGAUCCGAGCGUUAUCCGGAUUUAUUGGGUUUAAAGGGUGCGCAGGCGGCCCUGUAAGUCAGCGGUUAAAUCGUGGAGCUCAACUCCAUCCCGCCGUUGAUACUGCAGGGCUUGAUUGCGGUCGAGGUUGGCGGAAUUCGCCGUGUAGCGGUGAAAUGCAUAGAUAUGACGAAGAACACCGAUUGCGUAGGCAGCAGACCAGACCGUAAAUGACGCUCAUGCACGAAAGUGUGGGGAUCGAACAGGAUUAGAUACCCUGGUA
rnacentral:rRNA from 1 species